rnacentral:rRNA from 1 species
AUGACGAAGCAGUGGUCCUGCGGCGCCUGGAAUGGGCGUGGGAGGAGGCAUAGGGGUUGCAGGCUCCUGGUGGAGGUCGGCGGCGGUGUCGCAAGCCAACGGGGUAGAGGCAAGGUGGGGGUGAGGAGGUGGCAUGAAGGGGCUCACAGUAGGGCGGCGCUCGUGGUGCUCUGUUGCGGGGUGGCUGGAGCGAGGGAGAUGGGUGAGAUGGGGAUUAAGCAAGAUGGCAGCAGGCGAUGGGUGCGAGUGCAUCGUUGCGGGAGGGAGAGAACGAGAGGAGGAGGGAAAUCGAGAGAAGGGGAAAGGGGAUCGAGUCGAGGCCCCUAG